AUGUCUUCACCGAGGAGGUUUUCCUGGGUCGUGCUGAGGAAGCACGUCCCGGUCUUCGACGCCGAGGAGAAGGAGCAGGAGGACAAGAUCAUGGCCAAGGCGAGCAAAGAUUGGGGGAACAUCGAGAAUGGGUCCUGGAUACUGGACCAGUUCUCGCUCGACGCGCACCUCGUCGAGCCGCCGGAGCUCUCCACCUUGUCCGUGCGCGCCAAGAUCGAGACGCAGGAGCGCGGCUUCGGGUGCGUCCUCGACUCCGUCGUGGAGAACUACCUCGUCAUGACUCUGGUGUUCGGCGACAGGUGGUACGGGCUCGUCUACGACGCCGCCAAGAACUCGCUCUCGCUGCUCCCCGCCACCAUGGAUUCCUUCGAGGGCUACGACUUCGCGUCGAGAGUUGAUUCUGUGCCCUUCUUCUUCCUGAGGCCACCUGCUGUCCUGCCACGCGACGACGGUUCCUACGAUCUGUUCAAUCUGGGGUUCCGUUUCGCUACACGCGACAGAGUGUUGCAGGGGUCGUCGGGCAUCAUCUUCCGGUGGUGGAGCCAUGCCGCUGGCAAGAAGUGGACGAAGCAGGAGGCGCGCUUCAGCCCGCAUACCCAGGUGCCGCGCCAGCCGGCUUACAAAGUAGACGCGGCCUUCACUUUCAAAGGGAAGGUUUUCUGGGCCGAUCUCAUGCUUGGCGCCAUUGUCUGUGACAUGCCAUCCACCCGUACCACUACCAGCGAAGACGAAGACCACGUGGAGCUGGACUUCAUCCAUCUUCCCCAGGAGUGCCAAGGCCGUGACUUCUCCCGCAGUUACCCCAAGGACCGUCGGACCAUGGGCCCUGUCGGGGACUCCAUAAAGCUCAUCUCCAUCGUCACCAUCAGUGGCGACAACCCCCGUGACAACACGCCCCCUGCCGAUGUCGUGUUGCGGAGCUGGACCCUGUCGCCAGAUCUCCGCUCAUGGACGAGAGACCAAGACAUGGAGCUGCCCUUGCCCCUGCUCUGGCAGUCGGAGGUCUACAAGCGCGAGAGGCUGCCGCAGGCCAUGCCGCAGUGCCCAGUCCUCAAGGCCGACGAGGAUGGGGCCGCGGAUUUGCUGCACAAGUUGUACCUGGAUCCCAAGGUCGUCGUGGCCGGCCAGGGCAAAGAGGCUCUGAAGAAGGUCUCGGCAGCACCCAAUGACAGACUGAAUGGCGUGGUGACAUCUUCAAACCCUCAGGUGGUGUCUGCAGGGCAGUGGGCAACCAUGGGGCAGCAGGAUUACAAGAAAGCCAGCAUGUAUGCUGGAGCUGAAGCCUACCAGUAUUACCAAAUCAAUUUCCAUAUAAGAUCUUGUUAUCAAAAAUAG
rnacentral:rRNA from 1 species